rnacentral:rRNA from 1 species
UACAGGGGGUGCAAACGUUGCUCGGAAUCACUGGGCGUAAAGCGCACGUAGGCGGAUUGUUAAGUCAGGGGUGAAAUCCUGGAGCUCAACUCCAGAACUGCCUUUGAUACUGACGGUCUUGAGUUCGGGAGAGGUGAGUGGAACUGCGAGUGUAGAGGUGAAAUUCGUAGAUAUUCGCAAGAACACCAGUGGCGAAGGCGGCUCACUGGCCCGAUACUGACGCUGAGGUGCGAAAGCGUGGGGAGCAAACAGG